rnacentral:rRNA from 1 species
UCUUAGUGGCGGACGGGUGAGUAACGCGUGGGUAACCUGCCUUACACUGGGGGAUAACACUUAGAAAUAGGUGCUAAUACCGCAUAAGCGCACGAAGCCGCAUGGAUUUGUGUGAAAAACUCCGGUGGUGUAAGAUGGACCCGCGUCUGAUUAGCUUGUUGGCGGGGUAACGGCCCACCAAGGCGACGAUCAGUAGCCGGCCUGAGAGGGUGGACGGCCACAUUGGGACUGAGACACGGCCCAAACUCCUACGGAAGGCAGCAG